rnacentral:rRNA from 1 species
GCGGCGAGCGAAGCGGGAAGAGCUCAAAUUUAUAAUCUGGCACCUUCGGUGUCCGAGUUGUAAUCUCUAGAAGUGUUUUCCGCGUUGGACCGCACACAAGUCUGUUGGAAUACAGCGGCAUAGUGGUGAAACCCCCGUAUAUGGUGCGGACGCCCAGCGCUUUGUGAUACACUUUCAAUGAGUCGAGUUGUUUGGGAAUGCAGCUCAAAUUGGGUGGUAAAUUCCAUCUAAAGCUAAAUAUUGGCGAGAGACCGAUAGCGAACAAGUACCGUGAGGGAAAGAUGAAAAGCACUUUGGAAAGAGAGUUAACAGUACGUGAAAUUGUUGGAAGGGAAACGCUUGAAGUCAGACUUGCUUGCCGGACUUGUUCGGUUUGCAGGCCAGCAUCAGUUUUCUGGGGUGGAUAAUGGCGGUUUGAAGGUAGCAGCUUCGGCUGUGUUAUAGCUUUCCGCUGGAUACAUCCUGGGGGACUGAGGAACGCAGCGUGCUUUUUGCGAAGGUUUCGACCUUUUCACGCUUAGGAUGCUGGUGGAAUGACUUUAAACGACCCGUCUUGAAC